rnacentral:lncRNA from 1 species
UCUCACCACCCUUAUUACAACUUUUGCCUCUCAAGUUUUUCUUACCAUUUUUUUAGAUUUUUUUCAAAUUUUUUUUCUCUUUUACAUGCCACUUAGCUCUAAUUUUCAUCAAAAAUCAAGCACCUGAUCCAUAUGGGAUGCCCCAUAUAAAUAGGUGACCAUGGGACAUGAAGAAGGACCAAGGGGCGCCAACCUUUGAUGCUCCACAUUCUCAUAUAGUGAAAUAAAUCACCAUUAAUUAUUUUUGGAAC